GACGAACGCUGGCGGCGUGCUUAACACAUGCUUAGUCGAACGGAAAGGCCCUGCUUUUGUGGGGUGCUCGAGUGGCGAACGGGUGAGUAACACGUGAGUAACCUGCCCUUGACUUUGGGAUAACUUCGGGAAACUGGGGCUAAUACCGGAUAGGAGCUCCUGCUGCAUGGUGGGGGUUGGAAAGUUUCGGCGGUUGGGGAUGGACUCGCGGCUUAUCAGCUUGUUGGUGGGGUAGUGGCUUACCAAGGCUUUGACGGGUAGCCGGCCUGAGAGGGUGACCGGCCACAUUGGGACUGAGAUACGGCCCAGACUCCUACGGGAGGCAGCAGUGGGGAAUAUUGCACAAUGGGCGGAAGCCUGAUGCAGCAACGCCGCGUGCGGGAUGACGGCCUUCGGGUUGUAAACCGCUUUCGCCUGUGACGAAGCGUGAGUGACGGUAAUGGGUAAAGAAGCACCGGCUAACUACGUGCCAGCAGCCGCGGUGAUACGUAGGGUGCGAGCGUUGUCCGGAUUUAUUGGGCGUAAAGGGCUCGUAGGUGGUUGAUCGCGUCGGAAGUGUAAUCUUGGGGCUUAACCCUGAGCGUGCUUUCGAUACGGGUUGACUUGAGGAAGGUAGGGGAGAAUGGAAUUCCUGGUGGAGCGGUGGAAUGCGCAGAUAUCAGGAGGAACACCAGUGGCGAAGGCGGUUCUCUGGGCCUUUCCUGACGCUGAGGAGCGAAAGCGUGGGGAGCGAACAGGCUUAGAUACCCUGGUAGUCCACGCUGUAAACGGUGGGUACUAGGUGUGGGGUCCAUUCCACGGGUUCCGUGCCGUAGCUAACGCUUUAAGUACCCCGCCUGGGGAGUACGGCCGCAAGGCUAAAACUCAAAGGAAUUGACGGGGCCCCGCACAAGCGGCGGAGCAUGCGGAUUAAUUCGAUGCAACGCGUAGAACCUUACCUGGGUUUGACAUGGAUCGGGAGUGCUCAGAGAUGGGUGUGCCUCUUUUGGGGUCGGUUCACAGGUGGUGCAUGGCUGUCGUCAGCUCGUGUCGUGAGAUGUUGGGUUAAGUCCCGCAACGAGCGCAACCCUUGUUCACUGUUGCCAGCACGUUAUGGUGGGGACUCAGUGGAGACCGCCGGGGUCAACUCGGAGGAAGGUGGGGAUGACGUCAAGUCAUCAUGCCCCUUAUGUCCAGGGCUUCACGCAUGCUACAAUGGCUGGUACAGAGAGUGGCGAGCCUGUGAGGGUGAGCGAAUCUCGGAAAGCCGGUCUCAGUUCGGAUUGGGGUCUGCAACUCGACCUCAUGAAGUCGGAGUCGCUAGCAAUCGCAGAUCAGCAACGCUGCGGUGAAUACGUUCCCGGGGCU
rnacentral:rRNA from 1 species